rnacentral:rRNA from 1 species
AGAGUUUGAUCCUGGCUCAGAUUGAACGCUGGCGGCAUGGCUAAAACAUGCAAGUCGAACGGGGCCGCAAGGCCCAGUGGCGGAAGGGUGAGUAAUAGUAUCGAAUGUACCCCGAGGUGUGGGAUAGGCAUGGGAAACCGUGCGUAAUACCACAUGAUCUCUACGGAGCAAAGCUUCGGCGCCUUGGGAGCAGCGAUACACCUAUCAGGUAGUUGGCGGGGUAAUGGCCCACCAAGCCGAAGACGGGUAGCCGGUAUGAGAGUACGGCCGGCCACAUCGGGACUGAGACACUGCCCGGACUCCUACGGGAGGCUGCAGUAACGAAUAUUCCACAAUGCACGAAAGUGUGAUGGAGCAAUGCCGCGUGCGGGAUGAAGCGCCUUUGGCGUGUAAACCGCUGUCAGGGGAUCGAAACACUGAUCAUCCCCAGAGGAAGUGGCGACUAACUCUGUGCCAGCAGUCGCGGUAAUACAGAGGCCACAAGCGUUAAUCGGAAUCACUGGGCUUAAAGGGUGCGUAGGCGGGUUCGUAAGUGCUAUGUGAAAGCCCUCGGCUCAACCGGGGAACUGCAUGGCAUACUGCGAAUCUCGAGGAAUCUAGAGGCCGGCGGAACGAUAGGUGGAGCGGUGGAAUGCGUAGAGAUCUAUCGGAACGCCAAAGGUGAAGACAGCCGGCUGGGGAUUUCCUGACGCUGAGGCACGAAAGCGUGGGGAGCAAACAGGAUUAGAUACCCUGGUAGUCCACGCCCUAAACGAUGCGCAUUAGACCGGUGCAGGUCUGACCCUGUAUUGGUCGUAGAGAAAUUGAUAAAUGCGCCGCCUGGGGAGUACGGUCGCAAGGCUAAAACUCAAAGGAAUUGACGGGGGCUCACACAAGCGGUGGAGCAUGUUGCUUAAUUCGAAGCAACGCGAAGAACCUUACCUGGGUUUGACAUGCACGGAUUAGUUCUUGGAAACAGGGAUGACACCCGCAAGGGUGGAACGUGCACAGGUGCUGCAUGGCUGUCGUCAGCUCGUGCUGUGAAGUGUCGGGUUAAGUCCUCUAACGAGCGCAACCCCUGUCGCUAGUUGCUAACGGGUAAUGCCGAGGACUCUAGCGAGACUGCCGGCGUAAGUCGGAGGAAGGCGGGGAUGACGUCAAGUCCUCAUGGCCCUUACAUCCAGGGUUGCAAACGUGCUACAAUGGUGCGUACAGAGCGACGCGAGGCCGCGAGGCGGAGCAAAUCGCAAAAAACGCACCCCAGUUCGGAUUGCAGGCUGCAACCCGCCUGCAUGAAGUCGGAAUCGCUAGUAAUCGGAGAUCAGCUACGCUCCGGUGAAUACGUUCCUGAGCCUUGUACACACCGCCCGUCAAGUCAUGGGAGCCGGUAGCGCCCGAAGCCGCCACAAUACUGUGGUGUCUACGGCAAGAUCGGUGACUGGGACUAAGUCGUAACAAGGUAGCCGUAGGAGAACCUGCGGCUG